GUGAUAAAUUUAACGGCCGCGGUACCCUAACCGUGCAAAGGUAGCAUAAUCACUUGUUCUUUAAAUAAGGACUUGUAUCAACGGCAUCACGAGGGUUUUACUGUCUCCUCUCUCCAAUCGGUGAAACUGAUCUCCCCAUGAAAAAGUGGGGAUAAACUUAUAAGACGAGAAGACCCCAUGGAGCUUUAAAACCUAUAGCAACUUAGUAAAACAUUUCCAUCUAGCUAUAAAACGAUGCUCAAGGACUUUAGGUUGGGAGGACCACGGAGCACAAGAUAACCUCCGUAAUGAAAAGAAUAAAAUCUUUACCAAAGAGCCACAACUCUAAGAAUUAGAAAACUAACGUACAUGACCCGAUAACGAUCAAUGAACUAAGUUACCCUGGGGAUAACAGCGCAAUCCACUCUGAGAGUUCAUAUCGACGAGCGGGCUUACGACCUCGAUGUUGGAUCAGGGUAUCCUGGUGGUGCAGCCGCUACCGAAGGUUCGUUUGUUCAACGAUUAAAACCC
rnacentral:rRNA from 1 species